GAUGAAGAACGCAGCGGAAUGCGAUAAGUAAUGUGAAUUGCAGAAUUCAGUGAAUCAUCGAAUCUUUGAACGCACAUUGCGCCCGCCAGUAUUCUGGCGGGCAUGCCUGUCCGAGCGUCAUUUCAACCCUCGGGACCCUUCGGGGAACCGGUGUUGGGGACCCGUCCGCCGACCCACGGCGGCCGGCCCCGAAAUACAGUGGCGGCCCUGCGGCGACCUCCUCUGCGUAGUAGCGAUACCUCGCAGCUGGAAAGCGGCAGCGGCCACGCCGUAAAACCCCCACUUCUAUGGUUGACCUCGGAUCAGGUAGGAAUACCCGCUGAACUUAAGCAUAUCAAUAAGCGGAGGA
rnacentral:misc_RNA from 1 species